rnacentral:miRNA from 1 species
GGAGCCUCCGGAAGCAAAGUUCUGUGACACUCCGACUCUGGGUACGAUAGCAGUCAGUGCACU